UAGUUUUAUCAACAUUUAGGUGCCUUUGUGAAGAAAGGUUAAAAGGGAAGCUGGUGACAAUCCAGCACGGACCCCGCCACUGUAAGCGUUGAGCGAUGCUGAGAAUUAUCCACUGUGUGAAAAAUGCAUGGGAAGGGUUGGCAUUGUGCUUGAGACGUAAGUCAGGAGACCUGCCUAAUUGUUUUUAAGGAU
rnacentral:ncRNA from 2 species